GAUGAACGCUGGCGGCGUGCUUAACACAUGCAAGUCGAACGAUGAAGCCCAGCUUGCUGGGUGGAUUAGUGGCGAACGGGUGAGUAACACGUGAGUAACCUGCCCUUAACUCUGGGAUAAGCCUGGGAAACUGGGUCUAAUACCGGAUAGGAGCGCCUACCGCAUGGUGGGUGUUGGAAAGAUUUAUCGGUUUUGGAUGGACUCGCGGCCUAUCAGCUUGUUGGUGAGGUAAUGGCUCACCAAGGCGACGACGGGGUAGCCGGCCUGAGAGGGUGACCGGCCACACUGGGACUGAGACACGGCCCAG
rnacentral:rRNA from 1 species